rnacentral:rRNA from 1 species
GGGCCCGCACAAGCGGUGGAGCAUGUGGUUUAAUUCGAUGCAACGCGAAGAACCUUACCAGCCCUUGACAUCCUCGGAACUUGGUAGAGAUACCUUGGUGCCUUCGGGAAUCGAGUGACAGGUGCUGCAUGGCUGUCGUCAGCUCGUGUCGUGAGAUGUUGGGUUAAGUCCCGCAACGAGCGCAACCCUUGUCCCUAGUUGCCAGCACUUCGGGUGGGAACUCUAGGGAGACUGCCGGUGAUAAACCGGAGGAAGGUGGGGAUGACGUCAAGGUCAUCAUGGCCCCUUAUGGGCUGGGCUACACACGUGCUACAAUGGUCGGUACAGAGGGCCGCAAUCCCCGCGAGGGGGAGCCC